AUUGAUGAAUGUUUGACCAACCCAUGUCAUGUCAAUGCCAGUUGUACUGACACUGAAGGUUCUUUUGUUUGUCAAUGUAAUAGUGGGUAUUCUGGAAAUGGAUUUAAUUGUUCCAGUAAGUAAAUCGUUCAUUCACGUGUUUAAAGUUUUGUACCUUUCUAGCAAUCACUUAUUUUAAUUUUGGGAUAGGUAAUAGGACCUCUACAUGCGUCUUGGACCUGUGGUUUACUUAUAAUCAUUAUUUAUCUCAUGGAUUUCUUAUAUUUUCAACGGGGUCUUGAAAGUAGACCAUGCCGUGAAAUAUUGUAUAAAAGGUGCACGCGUAUUAUGCGUGCGUUGCUUUGUGUCUUUUUGUGUCAAUCCAUUGUAGAAAUAUCGUAAUUGAAGUUAACAUGUACGGUAUGUAAAGUUAUUACUUGGUAAUUGAUAGGUGUAAUUUGAUGAUGCACAUGAAUUUAUCACAGGGUCGCAUUUGACCAUACUGCGAUAUUGCAAAUUAGGAAUUGGUAACAAGACUUGUGAUUUUGUGUUGUGUAAUUUUCCAGUAUCUCAUCUGAGUAAAUGGUUUUCCCAAAUAUAUCUUCACAGGGUCCGGAAAGUAGACCAUGCAGUAAGAUAUUGCGGUAAACUUAGUCUUUGUUGGUCACUGUGUAUUUCCACUGUGGUAUUUCGUAAUGUGUCCAUCAAAUGUGGUUAAGGCUAUGUGAGGAUUGUAAGCCAUGACGUACUAUAUACUAUAUGGAUUAAUACUUUUAAGUAAUAUAUGUAUAAUAAGAUUGAUUGUCCAAAGCAGUCCGAAGUAGUCCGAGCGAGUUUCGCGUUUCAACAUGGUAAGAAUAGUGUGAUAUAUUGGGUCAAUAUCAUUAAUUAAAAAUGACUCUAGAGAAAGGCGAACAUGGGUCGAACGGCAUGCGGAAUCGCCCUGGACAAAUCAUCCCACUGGUACAACAAAAUUGCAUUAAGGAGAUAAAUGGAUGAUAUUGGAGAGAUGUUGUGAUUUUUAAUGAAACAUUGAAUAAUGACGUGACUGUGUAUUGGGGCUAUAGCAAACCUCACAGAGUCUUGGGUUGACCUUGCUUGUGAAGUAUGUUAGCGGAUGGUAUAUCAUAUGGAAGAUUCAGUACAUAUAGUUGUGUUAAUUGUGCUUUUUCAUUUGUUUGGCCCCUUUUUUCUAGACAUUGAUGAAUGUUUGACCAACCCAUGUCAUGUCAAUGCCAGUUGUACUGACACUGAAGGUUCUUUUGUUUGUCAAUGUAAUAGUGGGUAUUCUGGAAAUGGAUUUUAUUGUUCCU